rnacentral:lncRNA from 1 species
CAUGUUGCUUGGGACAUUCAUGUCCCUGGGAACCUCAGAAUGUGACCUUAUUUAGAAGUAGAGUCUUUGCGGAUAUAUUUGGUUAAGAUGAGGUCAUACUGGAUUAGGGCGGGCCUAAUCAGAGAGAGACAGAGAGAAGAAGCCAUGUGAGGAUGGAGGCAAGAUUGAAGCGAAAGCGAAGUAGCUACAAGCCAAGGAAUGUCAAGGAUUGUCGAGAGCCACCAAAAGCCAGGUGAAAGCUGCUAUUUACGCAAACUUUCCCUGGGGGAGUCCACCUGUAUCCUCUAUGAGAGCAUAAUGACGGGUUUCUGUAAGGAGCACUUGCUGCUUGAUUGUUCAGUCUCUGCCUCAUUCUUUCCAUGGAGUGAUUAGCAGCCAAGCAGCAGGAAAUUCCUGUCUCUCAAAAGAGGCAGAAACAGAAAAGCAGAGAGAAACGGAUACUGACAGAAAGGAGAAACUACCAGAUAGUUCCCCAUCUCUAUCCAACUACUUGGGCUCAACUCUCACUUCAAUCAGCCGCUUAAGGACCGACAGGCUGUGGAAGACUCAGUUAAGUAGAAGAAGGCUUCUGCCAGACCUGUUCCUGUGGGAGUGGAAUCAUUGUGGGACCUGAUGAUUCAACAGUUGAUGAAGAAGCUGAAGCCAGGAGAAGCUAAUUAAAACUUCCAAAUUCCCCUAUAUUCUUUGCACUGCACCAGAGUGAACUUCCAUGGGCACUGAUUACCCAUCAUCUGGAAAGCACUGACAACAAACAACGACCACUGCAACUCUCUAUCCACUCAGAAGCCACAAUUAAACAGCAAGAUCCCUCCUUGGUGGACCUCCUCACAUGAGAGAAACCACAUCGGCUUGUACUGAAUACUACAUGCAAAAAGAACGCUGAAGCAUGAAACAUCAGAAGGCAAUAUCAUGUGCCAGUGCUGUACCAAGCCAUAGCGAAGCCUAAGGCAGAAGGAGAAGCCCAUCCUUCACUGGGAAGACACCAUCCCAAUAAAAUUCAUACACAGAAAUGAUGAUGAUGACACUGAUAGUACCUACUAUUUAUUGAAUGCUACCACUGACAUGUUAUCUACUCAAUGCUUGUUAUGAGCCAGAUGAUAAAACUGACACUCUCAGAUGGAAAUAAUUUGUAAGAAGUUUCACAGCUGGUGAAUGAUUGAGCUGAGAUUGUCUCCUAUCUGACUCUUGAGUGCAUUUCCUUUAUUAUUCCAGUUGUGCCAACUAUGUCUUAAAAUCAUGGACUGUCAGACUAAAUCAAAAGAAUAACAUUAUUUAAAGUGUACACAACUGUAAAUAACCACUUUCUGAGUCCCCUGCCUGAUGCAACUUGGAAAUGCUAUCAAUAAAGCCUGAAGAAUGGGUUUUCAAUUGGUAGCAAUGACACUUUAAUGGAGUCUAGAAAUUUAGUACUUAACCUAUGGCUCAGUUUUGAAAUGUCCUCUUGCCUGACCUGAAGAGAAUUGUCUCCUGCAUCCCCGCUCCACCACCUCCAUCCCCAUUCCAUCUCUAAGGGUGGCCUAAGAAGCCAGGUCUGGGUGGUACUGCUGUAGGAAAGGAUCACGUAGCACGUGAGUAAAGGAUGUCAGAAAAGGUAGGGGAUGAAUAAAGGGGAGUUCUAAAGAAUAGAGGCCUCUGGAGACAUAUGGAAAUUCAACCUCUGUCAUGGUUGUGCCCUGCCCUUGAGCAUGGGGAUGGGCAUCAGAGCCCUGCUGUCCCCAUGUCCAUCUAAAAUGUGUCAUUUUGUCUUCGGCAAUGGAGAGCUGAGGCCAUCCAAUGUGAAUAAUGAAGUGUUCCUUAACAAGACAAAGGGUAAGAAAUUCAUCUUCAGUAAUCCCCUCAGAAUAUACUUACUAGCUGAGCUCAGCAUUAUGACAUAUUAUUUACUCACUCAGCUCGUCAAAAACAUUUCUCUGGAAAUGAGCUCCUACUCUGGGUACUAUUGGCUUAUUAGUGAUUCGUACUGUCUCUGUAGUGAUUCGUAAAGUGUGUUCCCUGCCUCAGCAGCAGCCUCAUUAUCUGGAACUUAUUAGAAAUGCAAAUUCUUGGGCUCCACCUCAGCUCUGCUACAGCAGAAUUCUGGGUUUGGGGUUGAGCAAUCUGUUUCAACAAGCCCUGCGGGUGACUUUGAUGCCCACUAAAGUUGGUGACGCACUGCGCUGCUCUAGAGACCAUAAACUUCAGGCAGGAAGUCUGUUUAAUGUAGUCCCAUGAAAUGAAACUCUUUCCCCGUAGCAGUGCAAUGAUGAACUACACUGGAGCUGAAGGCAAAAGUUAAAAUCAAUAAAUUGAUUCUGCCUUUAUUUAAAAUUUAGAUAUUUUGUUCAUCAUAAAAUUUUUGCCUCAGUUUUGAUUUUUAAAAAUAUUCAUCUUGAUUGCUGAGUUUUUGGUGGCCGUCCAAAUUUUGCACCUGGGGUAAAUGCCUCGCUCGCCUACCCUGUCCCUGCCCUUUGAGAAGCCAUUCUAUCAGGGAGAGAGAACAGAGUUUUAGAGCCAUCUACUUAAUGCCACCCUGGAUCAGGAAGGAUGGCCGGACAGUCAUUCUGGAAGCGGCCUUGGACGACUCAGACCUCAGCUACACAGCGUUGGACCUUGUACGCACAAACCUCAGAUGGCCCUCAGCUGUGGGUGGUCCGGGUGGAACUUUUGUAGAAUUGCAAGGUCAGGAGAUAUUUUUUCUGUUUUUUAAAAAAUUAUUUUAUUGGGGUCAUAUUGCCUUACAGCAUUGUGUAAGUUUCAGGGAUUCAAACAAUACUUUCAGAAAUCUUCAUAACAUCCCUCAGACCUCUCCCUCCCUAUGAGCAGUUUCAGCCCAAGGUGAUUACUAAUUUAUUUGCUUCUGAGCGAACCCAUGUUAAUCAGGAUGAACUAACUUGAUUUAAUGUGAGUGUCAUGUGUGCCCAUGGUUACUUUCAUUUUCUCUUGCAGUCAGGGCUGCUUAAUUACUGAACUGUGACAAGAGGGAGGUAAUUCAUGCCGCCAGCCUGGAACUCAUCUCUACCUUUAGUUUUGUCUACAAGAGGACAGAGCUGCCAAGGAGAGGGCCUGACACCCCAGUGUUCAUUAAACCCAUCACCUUCCUCCGUCUUGCUUCUUUUCACUCCUCUUUCAUUCCAAACAGCAGGAGCAAAAAGAGUACAAAAGCUGUGCAUCUAAAAAUUAUAAUUUAAUUAAAUGAACUGAAUGACUC